GAUCAGCUACAGAAUAAUGAUGGUUCUAAAGCCCUGUUCUAGAUGGGAACCGAAGAGCCAAGCAUAAAUAUGGCUUGCAAGUAGCAGACUCUUGAAAGUAGAGACCAGAGGGACUCUAGGUAGUUUGGACAAAGAUCAUGAGAAAGUUUUCUUAUAGAUCUUUAUCAAGGGUAGAAAAGAAGACAUAAAUUUUUUUUAACUUAACUUUUCUGGGUGAUAUUUUAAUCAUAAAUUCUUAUUUCCUUAAAAAAAAAUUAAAAGUCCAUACCAAUAAAAUCUAUAUAUUUGAGAGUAAAUUGAGGGUUAGCCCUGGGAAUAAAGUUUUUCUUUUGCCAUUGCCUGACAUCUUUCCCUCUCCCCUUCCAUGUACUAAGCAGUUAGACAUUGUAGAAAUAUAUAACCACUGAGAAAAUGCUGGAUAUUUCUCUCUUGGUGAUUCUCAGAGCAGUGAUCCACAAGGUUGUGAAGAAAAGUUCAGAGAUUCAUCUCAUUUCUUCUUUGUCUAUUUAUAAAGUGCUUAGGUCAAUGCCUGUUGCAUAGCAAGUAUUAGAAAUAUAUUUGUUAUUAUUAUAAUUAUUCUGAGCAAGAAACAAGAUGAUGUUUGUAAAUCUUUCAGUAGAACGCUUGCCACAUAAUACAUGCUCCAUAAAUGGUACUGAAUAUAGGUAGAACCUAUGUUAUAUAAUAAAACAUCCAAUUAUAUAUUGUUAUGAUUAGUAUUGUCUUUGCUUGGUAAACUCCUAGUCAUCGCCUAAAAUCCCAACUCGAGUUCACCUUCAAAAAGCAGCCUUCCCUACCACCCCAAAAUAUAAUUAAUUAUUCUAUCUUUUAUUGCACUUUGGUACUUAGAUGUCAUGUAUACAUGUUUUAUUGUAUUAUAAUGAGUUGUUCACUGUUAUGAUCCUUUUGAUAGGUCGCAAACUCUCUGAAGGCAAAGAUCAUGUUCUGUUCAGCAUUACACUUCCAACAUCCCAUGGUAUAGAGUCUGGCCACGUGGUAUACUAACAGUCACCACCUGUGUUGAAAGGAUUGAAUGAGAAAUUCCACGGUAGUCAUUCAGCACGGUAGUAAGGUAGGAAGGACCCAAUAAAUGAUGAUCACUAUUACAUUAGUAAAUUAUUAUUAUUACUUAAAUUAUAAUUAUACAAAUGAUGGCUAUUAUUAAUCAUAAGGAUAGUAAUAAGAAUUGAAAUGUUUCAGUAAUGUUUGACUUUUUACUGUAAGUGUGCAUUACUUUUGUAAGAUAGAAAAUGCUAAUGAUCAAUUUUUAAAAAGUAGUUUAUGCAGUUAGUUAUAGUUGACCCUUGAACAGCCUGGGGGUUGGGGCCCCAGCCCACCCCAUAGUAAAAAAUCCAAGUACAACUUUUGACUGUCCUAAAAACUUAACUAGCCUUCUGUUGACUAGAAGCCUCACUGAUAUCAGAAACAAUUAAUAUAUAUUUUGUAGGUUGUAUGUAUUAUACAGUGCAUUCUUAUAAUCAAUAAACUAGAGAAAAGAAAAUGCUAUUAAGAAAAUCAUAAGGAAGAGAUAAUAUAUUUACUGUUCAUUAAAUGGAAGUGGAUCAUCAUAAAAGUCUUCAUCUUCAUUGCUUUCAUGUGGAGGAGGAAAAGGAGGAGUUGGUCUUGCUGUCUUAGGGGCAGCAGAGGUGGAAGAAAGUCCCCAUGGAAGUGGACCCACACAGUUCAAACCUGUUUUGCUCAAAGGUCAACUAUAUUUUCACAACUGUGAUGGUUAAUCUUACGCGUCCACUUGGCUAGGUGAUGGUGCCCAGUUGUCCCAUCAAACACCAUGAAGGUACACAUCAGAUGUGUUGAGCAUUUAACUCAGUUGAUUUAAAUCUAUUUUGAGUAAAGCAAAUUACCCUCCAAAAUGUGAGUGGGCCUCCAUCAAUCAAUCAUUUGAAGGCCUUAAGAGAAAAGACAGAGAUUCUCUGGGGAAGAUGGAGUUUUGCUUCUAGACUGCUUUCAAAUGCAGGACUGCCACAGCAACUCUUGCUGGAAUCUUGAGCCUGUCACACAGAUUUCAUCAUUGCCAGCUCCCAUGAGCUAAUUCCUUAGAUUUCUCUCUAUCUAUCUAUCUACACACACACACACACACACACACACACAAACACAAACACACACACACCCUACUGGUUCUGUUUCUCUGGAGAUCUCUAAUAGAACAACCAAUUACAAAUGUUUUUAAAAAUGCUAAGCUUGUCACUAAAUUCACCCUUCACUCCAAGUUAGACAGGAUCAGCAAUAUGAUUCCCCUUUUUUGGGUGAGAAACUUGAGGCCUACAAAAUCCAAGUGCCUUACCCAUAGCCAAAAAAAUUGUUCAUAGCACAAUUGAGGUGUGAACCCUUAAGGCAGCUGAUUCUACUUCCUGUAGAACUGGUAACAUGGUACCACAGACAAUCACCUUCCAGCUCAUUAGUAUCUAGCUCCAGAUACCUCUGGGGGCAUCAAUGGCUAAGUGUUAUGAAAUGGGCUUCUUAUAGAAGGCUCCUGUACAACCUCUGAAAGCAUCCCACUCACACACAGUUGUCACCUAUAUAUCCCUUCUCCUUCCUUAUGAAACCUGACCCCUGGAGGUUCUUCAUCUACUCUCCAUUGUUAUUUUGGACUCUCCAAAAACUGGAUUGGUGAUGUGUUUAGGCCUCCAGUAAAACUGGCUACUUAAGAGGGAGAAUGAAAAUACAGGCAAAUUUUGUGUUUAAAUACACAUAUACACAUAACUUUUCUCUUGGUGUGUCUAUAAGGUAAAGGAGUAGGGAAACCACAGUCUCGUAGUGUGAAAGUUCUUAAUUCCUACCUACUACUGUGCCAUCUUGCUUAAGAACACAUUAUUUUCCUCUAGGUUACUAUAGAACAAUCUACGUUGUGCAAAGAAAUCACAAAUAGGCACUGUCUCACUACUCAAUCAUGACACAUCCCUCUGGUUUCUGGAGCUGUUAGAUCUUUCCUCUAUCCUUACCUUACCUCAAGGCCAAACAGAGUCUGGGUUAGAGUGCUUGAUAAAGGAGUAAGAAAGAACCUUGUUUUAGGUGGACUUGGUUUUUACUCUCAAGUUCAGCAUCUGCUUCAAGGCAUUUGUCCUCCAUUAUCUUUCAGAUCUGAAGGUCAUGUCACAGGUUCUAAACAUCUUCACACAAAUUUGUGUUUGAAAUUCACAAGAUAGUAAAGUUAAGG
rnacentral:lncRNA from 1 species